CGCCGCCGCCGCCGCCGCCGCCUCCUCCACUCCCCCCCCUUUAUUACCCUUUGUGUCAUCCUCCACAGCUCCCGGGAAGGCACUCAAAAGUGGGGGGCAGGAAAGAUGCUUGUUGAAGAUGUCACCUUCUACAUGUGGGAAGUAGAUACUGAAGGCUAUUUGGAAUACAGACAAGAUCUUUAAAAGAUAGACAUUCAAGGACCAAGGAAUAAAGUACCAUAAGCCAAGAGCACAGAAUAUUUUCUUUCAUCCAUUUAAAGAACCCUGAUACUUCUCUAAUUCCAUCAAAAACAAAAGAAUGACCACAUUGGCAGAUGGCCACAGAGGAUGUCAACUAUUUUU